UUAGCUGUUAGGGGGGUGCGUUUAACAAUUACCUUCAUUAUUAUAGUGAUGCUUCAUUGUUCAUAAGGAACAAUCUUAAUGUGGUUCUUUAAAUGAUUGAAUAAUCAUCAAUAAGGAAUCUCAGGAGAUAUUUAAAACUAGCAAAAAAACAGAAAAGAAAGGUAAAAUAUAUUGCAAAAGGUGAGAGAGAGACCCUUGUGCUAAGAGUGCCAUAACACAGAAACUCUGAUAUUCUUUAAAAAUACCCUCAUUUUGUUCCCAGCGUCCUCUCUCCGCUUCCCUUUUAUAAAGUACAGAAGAAUCUGAAAUGGUUGGAUUUCUGGCUCUUGGCUAUUCUGAAUCAACAUAUUAUGAGCAUCAAAAGUGAACAAAUGUCAGCCUGAAAAAAACUACUGUGAGUGGAUAUCCACAGCAUAACCCUGAAGCGUAUGCGAAUGUUUCAGAGGUUUAUUCUAUCUUCUUUGCUAUUAAGACUGCUAUAAGUGUUACACCCAAAUCAGAGGCAAUUCAGGGCUCAAGAACUGAUUCAAGUUGAGAGCUUAAUCAAUAAGCAAAUCAGCAAUAGGGCACCUCUCUAUUGGCAGGUAAACAGUCAGUAUUCUUGGAGCUUCCUCUAAAGCUUCGAAAAAUCAAUGUGAAUGACUUGCCAAAGGAGAGUUGCCCUGUGACUGCUAUUGGCAGGUAAACAGUCAGUAUUCUUGGAGCUUCCUCUCUAUUGGCAGGACAUUGCAUGAGGCUUGCAGCAAAGGUAUCAAAAGUGCUGAGAGAGGUUGCCAGCAACAUAAGGAGCUGUCAUCAAUGCUCUCCAGAAACACUCUCUGAUCAUCUUCAUGAUACCCUGCAGGACGUCAACGCUGCCAUAAAAUCCCAACCUCCCCUCUUCUUAGGCUCCAACAACAGCCAAGCCAACAACAUGUUCACUGUAGCAGCAGCAGCACAGACAACUCAUAUUUAUUUAUUUCAAGACAUAAAUAAAGUGUAAUAAGCAGUUCAUUUUCAUAUAGAGGAAGGCUGCAAUGAAAUGCAGAGAUAGCAUUAGAAAUGAGAAUACCAAAUAAGGAAGGAAAACAAAGUAUAAACUGCACUCUUGUCAAUGCAGGACCAUAGAUAAGGCUCAUCAUAGUGAAGACCAUGGAGUUAUAAAUGUUUAUAUCUUGGAAUCACUUCCUUUUCUUUA